CCUACGGGGGGCUGCAGUGGGGAAUCUUGCACAAUGGAGGGAACUCUGAUGCAGCGACGUCGCGUGAACGAUGAAGGCUUUCGAGUCGUAAAGUUCUGUCCUAUGGGACGAUAAUGACGGUACCAUAGGAGGAAGCCCCGGCUAACUACGUGCCAGCAGCCGCGGUAAUACGUAGGGGGCGAACGUUGUCCGGAUUUAUUGGGCGUAAAGGGUACGCAGGCGGCCAUGUAAGUCAGAUGUGAAAUCCUAGGGCUUAACCCUAGUUAGCAUUUGAAACUGUGUGGCUUGAGUUAAGGAGAGGAAAGUGGAAUUCCUAGUGUAGCGGUGAAAUGCGUAGAUAUUAGGAGGAAUACCAGUGGCGAAGGCGACUUUCUGGACUUAUACUGACGCUGAGGUACGAAAGCGUGGGGAGCAAACAGGAUUAGAUACCCUAGUAGUC
rnacentral:rRNA from 1 species